rnacentral:rRNA from 1 species
UACAGAGGAUGCAAGCGUUAUCCGGAAUGAUUGGGCGUAAAGCGUCUGUAGGUGGCUUUUUAAGUCCGCCGUCAAAUCCCAGGGCUCAACUCUGGACAGGCGGUGGAAACUACCAAGCUGGAGUACGGUAGGGGCAGAGGGAAUUCCUGGUGUAGCGGUGAAAUGCGUAGAGAUCAGGAAGAACACCGGUGGCGAAGGCGCUCUGCUAGGCCGUAACUGACACUGAGGGACGAAAGCUAGGGGAGCGAAUGGG